rnacentral:pre_miRNA from 1 species
GGUUGCUUCAGGGAACAUUCAACGCUGUCGGUGAGUUUGGAAUUAAAAUCAAAACCAUCGACCGUUGAUUGUACCCUAUGGCCAACC